UUACCAGGAAUGUCCAAUGCACAAGGCUCCUCUAUGUCUUUCAUGACCAACAAAAGAAAUUAUAGUAGAAUGGAACAAUCAUCGCAUUACCUGACAGACAUCCGUGCCAACAUUCGAAAUCAUUGGCUACAAGCUGAGACUACACAAAUGGCCAAAAGAAGGAACUAUACUAGAAUGCGAGAACCACCGUCCUGGAUGACAGAGGGUCUUCCCAGCUUUGUAGAAUCUGAACCACCCUCAUCGCAUUACCUGACAGACAUCCGUGCCAACAUUCAAAAUCAUUGGCUACAAGCGGAGACUACACAAAUGGCCGAAAGAAGGAACUAUACUAGAAUGCGAGAACCACCGUCCUGAGGGUCUUCCCAGCUUUGUAAAAUCUGAACCACCCCAGGCUACUACACAAAUGGCGUUAGAUGAAGUUUCGAAGGUUGAAGGCCUCAAUGACACUCAAAUCUUAAGGGCAGUGGAUCUUUUGAUGAAUGAGCAAAGGAAGUUUGAUACAUUUUCUGGACUUCCUAACAGAUUGAGGAGAACUUGGCUUCAAAUGCAUCUUGGGGAUCAGUUCUAGUCACAUCCAG
rnacentral:lncRNA from 1 species